AUUGUGGGGGGCCAGGAGCCCACUCUACAAGCUGACCUUGGCAUUCCGGCCGAGUCUGUGCAGGGAACCAAGAACUGCAUUCCAGACUGUAAGCCUCCCAUCCUUUCCGGGACCUGGGAACUCUCCGGGGCUGCCCUGGAGGCUGCAGUCUGGCCCAGAGGGCGGAGGGCAGUGGUCCUACAGAACCUGGGGAUUUAUCAGCACAACGAGAAGACGCAAGCGCUCUGAAAGAACAUGCUUGGAAAUAGGACUGACCCUGCUAUUUGGGACACUGGGACCGUGUAUCCGAAAGCUGGCUUCCAGUUGAGCUAACACAGAAAGCCAGAGCACUCCAGCCUGUCCCCCCAAACCCAUCCUGCACUUGUGCGCCUUGUCGGGUGAGGAGCCCAGUGGGGGACAGGCUUCCCCCACCAACACCGAACUGCACACCAGGAGUCCACACAGUUCCUGAAGGCAGAGUGGUGGGACACUGAGGGGUCAGCCACUCGGGGGUAACCCUCUCAGAAUCUUCCACCUGACUUCUCAAAGCUGGCGUCCGGAUUCUGACCACAGGUGUCCAGUGAGCCCGAUCCAAAGCUCUGACCUCCCACCCCGGAAGGACUCCCCGGCCCUCGCCCAUCGCCGUUUUCUACCAUUAGAUUUUAAAACUGCCGGACCAUUGAGCUCACUCAUCACGAACUUGUGGCCACAAGGACCCUUGGUAUCUUUUUCUAUUGUGCGUAGUCAUGGCCAGGAAUCAAUGAACUUUAUCAGUAGACCUCACAUCUGGUCCUUGGGGAAGGCUUCCCAUUUUGUUGCACUGCACGUGUCUCUCCUGGCUUGAGGGGGUUCUGAACCCGAGGGGCUGCUGUCCCCGGUCCGCGGCACUCGACCCCUGCUGCAGCAUCCUGAUUUCAGCACCCAAACAUCAACUUGGAAAAUCACUAAGCCAUUCUCUCCAACGACUCAAAAUAAAAA